GAUGAACGCUGGCUACAGGCUUAACACAUGCAAGUCGAGGGGAAACGACGGGGAAGCUUGCUUCCCCGGGCGUCGACCGGCGCACGGGUGAGUAACGCGUAUCCAACCUGCCUCUGACUGAGGGAUAACCCGUCGAAAGUCGGCCUGAUACCUCAUGGCAUCGUCUGCGGGCAUCCAACGACGAUUAAAGAUUUCAUCGGUCAGAGAUGGGGAUGCGUCUGAUUAGCUUGUUGGCGGGGUAACGGCCCACCAAGGCGACGAUCAGUAGGGGUUCUGUGAGGAAGGUCCCCCACAUUGGAACUGAGACACGGUCCAAACUCCUACGGGAGGCAGCAGUGAGGAAUAUUGGUCAAUGGGCGAGAGCCUGAACCAGCCAAGUAGCGUGCAGGAUGACGGCCCUAUGGGUUGUAAACUGCUUUUAUGCGGGGAUAAAGUGAGGGACGUGUCCUUCAUUGCAGGUACCGCAUGAAUAAGGACCGGCUAAUUCCGUG
rnacentral:rRNA from 1 species